rnacentral:rRNA from 1 species
UACCAGCACCCCGAGUGGUCGGGACGUUUAUUGGGCCUAAAGCAUCCGUAGCCGGUUCUACAAGUCUUCCGUUAAAUCCACCUGCUUAACAGAUGGGCUGCGGAAGAUACUAUAGAGCUAGGAGGCGGGAGAGGCAAGCGGUACUCGAUGGGUAGGGGUAAAAUCCGUUGAUCCAUUGAAGACCACCAGUGGCGAAGGCGGCUUGCCAGAACGCGCGCGACGGUGAGGGAUGAAAGCUGGGGGAGCAAACCGG